UACGUAGGUGGCAAGCGUUGUCCGGAUUUACUGGGUGUAAAGGGCGCGUAGGCGGGAGAGCAAGUCAGAUGUGGAUUGCCGGGGCUUAACCCCGGAGCUGCAUUUGAAACUGUUUUUCUUGAGUAUCGGAGAGGCAGGCGGAAUUCCUAGUGUAGCGGUGAAAUGCGUAGAUAUUAGGAGGAACACCAGUGGCGAAGGCGGCCUGCUGGACGACAACUGACGCUGAGGCGCGAAAGCGUGGGGAGCAAAC
rnacentral:rRNA from 1 species